rfam:Thalassobacter sp. 16PALIMAR09 PM04_001, whole genome shotgun sequence.
GCCCUUGCACCUUGGGCAAUGGGUGCUUAUAUCAGAGGUGUCUCGGCAACGGGACUAUCGUGAUAAACGCGCUCGUAAUACACGGCUCGGACCCGGGGGCGGUACCCGGCGACUCCACCAACACUCCCUUCAUUUGAGGGACGCGCGGGGUCGAAACAGGAUCGACGGACGUUUAAAGGUGUUAGCUUUCACGCGGCGGGAUACCACCGUUAUUGGUUCACUUAAGCUAGUUGCAAAUGACAACAAUGCUCCGGUAGCCCUGGCUGCGUAAGCAGUUCGGAAAACCGAAAAUUAAGUCCUAGCGCUUAGCAGCUCUAGGCGGGGUUCGCAGGUACCUGGCAACAGAAACCUGCACU